rnacentral:rRNA from 1 species
GACGAACGCUGGCGGCGUGCUUAACACAUGCAAGUCGAACGGAAAGGCCCUGCUUUUGUGGGGUGCUCGAGUGGCGAACGGGUGAGUAACACGUGAGUAACCUGCCCUUGACUUUGGGAUAACUUCAGGAAACUGGGGCUAAUACCGGAUAGGAGCUCCUGCUGCAUGGUGGGGGUUGGAAAGUUUCGGCGGUUGGGGAUGGACUCGCGGCUUAUCAGCUUGUUGGUGGGGUAGUGGCUUACCAAGGCUUUGACGGGUAGCCGGCCUGAGAGGGUGACCGGCCACAUUGGGACUAAGAUACGGCCCAGACUCCUACGGGAGGCAGCAGUGGAGAAUAUUGCACAAUGGGCGGAAGCCUGAUGCAGCAACGCCGCGUGCGGGAUGACGGCCUUCGGGUUGUAAACCGCUUUCGCCUGUGACGAUGCGUGAGUGACGGUAAUGGGUAAAGAAGCACCGGCUAACUACGUG